AGAAUCAACGCUGGCGGCGUGCCUAACACAUGCAAGUCGAACGCGAAAGUCCCGAAAGGGAUGAGUAGAGUGGCAAACGGGUGAGUAACGCGUGGGUGACCUGCCUUCGAGUGGGGGAUAACGUUUCGAAAGGAACGCUAAUACCGCAUGACAUCCUGCCUUUGAACAGGCGGACAUCAAAGCUGGGGAUCGCAAGACCUAGCGCUCGAAGAGGGGCCCGCGUCCGAUUAGCUAGUUGGUGAGGUAAUGGCUCACCAAGGCAACGAUCGGUA
rnacentral:rRNA from 1 species